AUAAAACCUCGGUAGGUGAGGUUACUACAGGGAUAAGGGCUGCUGCCGUAAAAGGAUGGAGACAUUCUUAACUGGUGAGCAGGUUUAGCCGAACAAAGAAGGCUUAACUUAAUGCAGCUUCAUGGCCUUGCAGAGCCAAAACUUGAACGGGAAAUGGUGAUU
rnacentral:sRNA from 1 species